ensembl:lncRNA
UACUAUGAAAGACAAUUAAAACCAAAGCUUCUAUUAAUGCCGUCAAGGACCCUGUUUUCAUUGAACCGUUGAUCAUCCUAUCUUUCAACGCAGGUGAAAAAGGUUUUUGCUCAGACCUCAGGCUUCCGUCGUUCCAUUGUCAACUCAUUCAGGAGUGGAUCUGUAGUUACCGACAUGACCCUCGUGUUCGACAACCAAACUUCGGUUCCCAGCUCAAGCAACGCACAAGUAACUUUCACCAACAGUUCCACCUCCCUGAACAUUCUAUCAGGCAGCAUCAUUUUUGGGUCAUCAACCACAUCAGGAAGUGCUCCCCGACCCACUUCCUUCUCUCUGGCUGCCUUGCCUCUCAGUUUGGCUCUAUUAAUGGUACAGCUGCUGGCUAGCUAAUAGCCUGGGACAUAGCUGCUGUGGCUCUGCUAGCUACUAGGCUAGCUAAUAGCCUGGGGCAUAGCUGUUGUGGCUCUGCUAGCUGCUGGCUAACCAAUAGCCUGAGGCAUAGCUGAUGUGGCUGAUGAGGUUUAACCAAUCUACAGUUUCUCAUAGAUACAGCCUUAAAGCUAGAAUCCUUAGUUGCUACACCCAUUUUUUUACUUAUAAAUUAAUGAUAUGUACCCAUUGAUUCUAGAAGAAUAUAACAUAUGAAUACCUCAUGAGUCUGUCGUACCCCAUCAGAACCCAAAAUAUAAGCUUGUUUUACCCCAAUGUUUUCUAAACAAUGCAAACAAACACUGUUCAGCUUUAAACCAUGAUUAAAACUAUAAUUCUGAUAUCAUGGAUGGUCAGUCCUGGCAUCCAUAGGUCUGUCUAUGAAUUUGAGAGUGGUCACAUUUUUAUUACCAAAAAAAACAUAGAACAGGUGUUAAUUUGUUAUUAUUUCAGCUAAUAAGGACUCUAUCUUUAAGAUGCAUUAGCUGCUUAAAGCACAAAUUCAAUUUGAGAGUUAUUAUUUCAGUUAAUAAGGACUCUAUCUUUAAGAUGCAUUAGCUGCUUAAAGCACAAAUUCAAUUUGAGAGUUAUUAUUUCAGUUAAUAAGGACUCCAUCUUUAAGAUGCAUUAGCUGCUUAAAGCACAAAUUCAAUUUGAGAGUUAUUAUUUCCAUACCACUUCCUCGUUCUGAACUUCUAAUGCCAGUGGGUGUGGCUUCGUGACAGUGAUCAAGAGCAGCUGCUCACCGAUUGGACAGCUCCAAUGCAGUGACCCCUCCGACCAGGAUAUGCAUGUGUGGUCAGAACUGAUUUGAUUGAAGCGAGGCCCUUAUCUUUCAAAUUACUAUUAUUUAACACUUUACCAUAUAACAGACUAAAAUGAAUUAUGUAAAUUAUUAAUUUGCAGCAGGUACAAAGCAACUUGCACACUAUCAGUGAAUUUAAAAAAUAAUAAAAAACCUGAAAAAAUUACAAAAACUUUCCACAAUUUGUUUGCUUUUUAAAAACUCAAAUCAAUAUGAAAUAUGAAAUAUGAUCAAAUAAAACAUUUAAAAAUUUUAACUGACUAAAAUGUUUUAUUUGAUCAUAUUUCCCCCUUUAAUUAUUAACUGAUGCAAUUACAAUUCAAAUUCAUCAAGACCGGGAUGAUAUUUACUUUGAGUGAUUUUGGGCAUAUCACUGAAAAUGGGGACCACUUCAAUGUUUUAAACUGUUGUAGAGCCUCUCCAGGUUUGUACUUGUCUUGUUAUUAUUAAAUCUAAUAUAUUAUGCAACACUCGUAGAAUAUAGAUUUGUCCUUUUUUUUCAUUACUGGUUGAAUAUAAUGACAUUUUGGGUCGCAUGUAACGACAUCUCAAUAUCCUUCUAGGGGUACAUCUCAUUAAUCUAGUCUAAUAUCCUUCUAGGGGUACAUCUCAAUAAUCUAGUCUAAUAUCCUUCUAGGGGUACAUCUCAAUAAUCUGGUCUAAUAUCCUUCUAGGGGUACAUCUCAAUAAUCUGGUAUGAUAUCCUUCUAGGGGUACAUCUCAAUAAUCUAGUCUAAUAUCCUUCUAGGGGUACAUCUCAAUAAUCUGGUAUGAUAUCCUUCUAGGGGUACAUCUCAAUAAUCUGGUCUAAUAUCCUCCUAGGGGUACAUCUCAAUAAUCUAGUCUAAUAUCCUUCUAGGGUUACAUCUCAAUAGUGUGGUCUAAUAUCCUUCUAGGGGUACAUCUCAAUAAUCUAGUCUAAUAUCCUUCUAGGGGUACAUCUCAAUAAUCUAGUCUAAUAUCCUCCUAGGGGUACAUCUCAAUAGUGUGGUCUAAUAUCCUUCUAGGGGUACAUCUCAAUAAUCUAGUCUAAUAUCCUUCUAGGGGUACAUCUCAAUAAUCUAGUCUAAUAUCCUUCUAGGGGUACAUCUCAAUAAUCUAGUCUAAUAUCCUCCUAGGGGUACAUCUCAAUAAUCUGGUCUAAUAUCCUUCUAGGGGUACAUCUCAAUAAUCUAGUCUAAUAUCCUUCUAGGGGUACAUCUCAAUAAUCUGGUAUGAUAUCCUUCUAGGGGUACAUCUCAAUAAUCUGGUCUAAUAUCCUCCUAGGGGUACAUCUCAAUAAUCUAGUCUAAUAUCCUUCUAGGGUUACAUCUCAAUAGUGUGGUCUAAUAUCCUUCUAGGGGUACAUCUCAAUAAUCUAGUCUAAUAUCCUUCUAGGGGUACAUCUCAAUAAUCUGGUAUGAUAUCCUUCUAGGGGUACAUCUCAAUAAUCUAGUCUAAUAUCCUUCUAGGGGUACAUCUCAAUAAUCUAGUCUAAUAUCCUUCUAGGGGUACAUCUCAAUAAUCGAGUCUAAUAUCCUUCUAGGGGUACAUCUCAAUAGUGUGCUUAUAAUUUCAUUAUUCCAAUAUGUUUUCAUUAAUUGAAUUCACUUAUUCUAUUU